rnacentral:rRNA from 1 species
GUCGAGCGGCGGACGGGUGAGUAAUGCUUAGGAAUUUGCCCAGUCGAGGGGGAUAACCAUUGGAAACGAUGGCUAAUACCGCAUACGCCCUACGGGGGAAAGAGGGGGACGCUUCGGCACCUUUCGCGAUUGGAUAAGCCUAAGUGAGAUUAGCUAGUUGGUGGGGUAAAGGCUCACCAAGGCGACGAUCUCUAGCUGGUUUGAGAGGAUGAUCAGCCACACUGGAACUGAGACACGGUCCAGACUCCUACGGGAGGCAGCAGUGGGGAAUAUUGCACAAUGGGCGCAAGCCUGAUGCAGCCAUGCCGCGUGUAUGAAGAAGGCCUUCGGGUUGUAAAGUACUUUCAGCGAGGAGGAAAGGUUAGUAGUUAAUACCUGCUAGCUGUGACGUUACUCGCAGAAGAAGCACCGGCUAACUCCGUGCCAGCAGCCGCGGUAAUACGGAGGGUGCGAGCGUUAAUCGGAAUUACUGGGCGUAAAGCGCAUGCAGGCGGUUGAUUAAGCGAGAUGUGAAAGCCCCGGGCUUAACCUGGGAACUGCAUUUCGAACUGGUCAACUAGAGUCUUGUAUAGGGGGGUAGAAUUUCAGGUGUACCGGUGAAAUGCGUAGAGAUCUGAAGGAAUACCAGUGCCGAAGGCGGCCCCCUGGACACAAGACUGACGCUCAGAUGCGAACAGCGUGGGGCAGCAUACCCGAUUAGAUACCCCUGGGUAGAUCCUC